rnacentral:lncRNA from 1 species
UAUCAGCAUCACAGGAUCCCAGAAUCACAGUAUCACAGAGACAGCUAGACUCUGAGGAGUUCUGACACAGCCAGGAUCACAGGCAGGACAAGCUUUACUCAGAGACAGUGAGGACAGGUAGCCCUAGGGAUAACCAGAUGGCAAGAGGCAAGCAUAAGAACAUAAGCAACAGAAACCCAGGUUACUUGGCAUCAUCAGAACACAAUUCUACCACCAUAGCAAGUCCUGGACCAGAACAGCAAGACUUGGAGCUAAAAUCACUUCUCAUGAUGAUGAUGAUAGAGGAAUUUAAGGACAAAAAUAAGUCCCUUAAAGAAAUACAGGAGAACAUAGGUAAACUGCGAUAAGCCCUUAAAGAGGAAACACAAAAAUCCCUUAAAGAAUUACAGGAAAACACAAUCCAACAGGUGAAGGAAACAAACAAUGCAUCCAGAAUCUAAAAAUGGAACUAGAAAUCACAAAGGAUGACAACCCUGGAGUUAGAAAACCUAGGAAAGAGAUCAGGAUAGACAUCAUAGAUGCAAUCAUUACCAACAGAAUAGAAGAGAGAAUCUCAGGUGCAGAAGAUACCAUAGAAAACUUUGACACAACAGUGAAAGAAAAUGCAAAAAGCUCCUAACCCCAAACAUCCAGGAAAUCCAGGACACAAUGAGAAGACCAAACCUAAGGAUAAUAGGUAUAGAAGAGAGUGACGAUUCCCAACUUAAAGGGCCAGUAAAUAUCUUCAACAAAAUUAUAGAACAAAACUUCCAUAAUCUAAAGAAAGAGAUGACCAUGAACAUACAAGAAGCCUACAGCAACCAACAGAUUGGGAAAAGAUCUAUAUGAAUCUUAUAUCUGGUAGAGGGCUAAUAUCCAAUAUUUACAAAAAAAUUC